rnacentral:rRNA from 1 species
AUUGAACGCUGGCGGCAUGCCUUACACAUGCAAGUCGAACGGUAACAGGUCUUCGGAUGCUGACGAGUGGCGAACGGGUGAGUAAUACAUCGGAACGUGCCUAGUAGUGGGGGAUAACUACUCGAAAGAGUGGCUAAUACCGCAUGAGAUCUACGGAUGAAAGCAGGGGAUCGCAAGACCUUGUGCUACUAGAGCGGCCGAUGGCAGAUUAGGUAGUUGGUGGGAUAAAAGCUUACCAAGCCGACGAUCUGUAGCUGGUCUGAGAGGACGAUCAGCCACGCUGGGACUGAGAAACGGCCCAGACUCCUACGGGAGGCAGCAGUGGGGAAUUUUGGACAAUGGGCGCAAGCCUGAACCAGCAAUGCCGCGUGCAGGAUGAAGGCCUUCGGGUUGUAAACUGCUUUUGUACGGAACGAAAAGCCCCGGGUUAAUACCCUGGGGUCAUGACGGUACCGUAAGAAUAAGCACCGGCUAACUACGUGCCAGCAGCCGCAGUAA